rnacentral:rRNA from 1 species
CAAUAGCGUAUAUUAAAGUUGUUGCAGUUAAAAAGCUCGUAGUUGGAUUUCUGGUGGGAGCGAUCGGUCUGGCGCUUAGCGCGAGUACUUGCAUCGUCUCCGGCCAUCCUUGGGGAGAGUCUGUCUGGCAUUAGGUUGUCGGGCAGAGGAUCCUCAUCGUUUACUGUGAAAAAAUUAGAGUGUUCAAAGCAGGCUUAUGCCGUUGAAUAUAUUAGCAUGGAAUAAUAAGAUAGGACUUUGGUACUAUUUUGUUGGUUUGCGCACCAAAGUAAUGAUUAAUAGGGACAGUUGGAGGUAUUCGUAUUCCGUUGUCAGAGGUGAAAUUCUUGGAUUUACGGAAGACGAACUACUGCGAAAGCAUUUACCAAGGAUGUUUUCAUUAA